rnacentral:rRNA from 1 species
UACGUAGGGGGCAAGCGUUGUCCGGAAUCAUUGGGCGUAAAGAGCGUGUAGGCGGCCCGGUAAGUCCGCUGUGAAAGUCCAGGGCUCAACCCUGGGAUGCCGGUGGAUACUGUCGGGCUCGAGUCCGGAAGAGGAGUGUGGAAUUCCUGGUGUAGCGGUGAAAUGCGCAGAUAUCAGGAGGAACACCAAUGGCGAAGGCAGCACUCUGGGACGUGACUGACGGUGAGACGCGAAAGCGUGGGGAGCAAACAGG